CUGGGUGAGAGUCAGAGAGGGAGUGUGUGUCUCCGGGAGCUGUUCCCUUUUAGCUGGAGGCUAAUAUAAUUGUGGCAGUCAAGGCAUUUUAAUAGACGACGGGAAACAUUCGGGGCUUCAAUAUUGACAACAGAUUACUUUGGGACAAGCAGCUGAAAUGCCCUCCACAAUAACCCUGCUAUUUCUGUCCCUCUGCUUUGCCUGCUGUUCUUUGCCUCUUUUUUUCUGCAGUGUUUAGACGAGGUGCUCCAGCCACCGGAGUGACUCAUCAGGCCGAAGCAGGGAACUCCGGGGAGCGGACAGCUGGGGGUGUGAACGCAACACCUGACCACUUUCUCCCAGUUGAGGCAAAGAGGGAGGGAGGGACGGGGGGGAGAACGACUGGAGAACGAAACACCCAUCAGGACGCAGGAGCCGCUUCAGUAACUCAAGACAAGGCAAGAAAUAGAAAUGAUGGAUCUGAAAUGUCACAUUUUCCACCGCUCCUUUCAUAAUCACCCUAGUUAACUCCUUGACUCCAGAUACCCCGAGAGCCGCAUAUUCUCAGCUGAACUCUUCGCCACUAAGGUACAGAUAAUGACUAGGCUUGGGCAGCGCGGCCGCGGCUCACAGCUGGAGCACAGCUGUACAGUGCACGGAGCCCGUGCUGCGGCAGGGAGGGUUCCUGGCACAGUGAUUUGGUGCAGAAACACAAACAAAAAUCACAUUGCCAGGGAUUUCCACUCUGUUACAGCGCUCCAGGCAUCAGUUAUCAUUAAAAAGAAUGUCCUCAGAAUGCACCCCUGUGAAAAUCUCUCUCUCUGGCCUCGGAUGUCUGUCUGGAAGUUUGAAAUGCCAGAAAUUAUCAGUGAAGCGUGACUCGGUCCGCAGAAGGUGCUGACUCCUUAUUACCCAUGCUGCUGGCCUUAGCCGUGUGUGCUGUGCCUUAUUUAAUCAUUGUCGUUAUUUUAUAUAAUGUUUAUAAGUAAUAGUCUUGCCAUCUCCCUCAGAAGUAAGUGACUCUUAAAUCUUAGCAUAUUACAUUCAGAUAAGGAACUUUAUUGUCAUUGCACAGAGCAGCGAUAUGUCAUUUAACUUUAAGAGUUUUAACCCCCUUAGCUAAUACUUAUUCCCUGACAAAACACAUGCCUCAGAAUUACAGUAUCCCUCUGAUUUUAUAUAGCGUGUUUGACUGGUGUAUUACAGCAGUUCUUAAUCAGACCAUGGACAUCCAACCGGAACGACAAAAUGACGGGGAUUGUUUUGCUUCUGUCUCCAUCACACGCCAUCACUUCCUAAAGGCUCAGAACUUAGCUAGUUGGUGAGCAUUGAUCCCUCAAAUAUUUUGUUCACAGUGGCUAAGUUCAGUGCCUUAAGUGAACUAUUGAAAUUUAGCCACGUCCACACGAAAGAGAGGGAAGACUACGGGAACAAAAAAACAGAUCUGAAGAUGGGUAACCAAUCAGGAGCUCCGGAAUGCCCGCGAAAUGUGGAGCUAGUCGAGGCCUGCAAGCUUACAUUUCGCCGCUACUUGGCUCUCAGGGUGCGUGGGUUGGGAUGAGCCGCUAUACACCCCCGCACCUCUUGCACAGCUACAUGAUACUUGUACGCGCAUGCGAGUUGAAGCAUAUGUCUGUGUUUACAGCAGUGUUUCCCAACCCGGUCCUUGGGGACUCCCAGACGGUCCACGCUUUUGCCUCCCAGCUCCCUUUAAAAAUGUGGACUGUCUGGCAGAGAGAUGAGAGGAAGCAAAAACGUGGACCGUCUGUGGGUCCCCAAGGAUCAGGUCGGAAACACUGUUUUAAAGGUCCGAACUGAAAAUCCACAAGGAAUUUGUGUACUUUUAUAAGUACAAUCACCCAGUAUCUGUUUAGAUCUGUUAAUGUGUGCUCAGGUCUGUAUGUCCUCAUGCUCAUAUCACCCUUUGGGAUUUUCCGAGGACCAUUUUUUCCCCUAAAUUGUAUUCAGUUUAUUUCCUCUGUGUAAAAUGCAUGCAGAUCCUUUCCUUGCGGUUCCACACAAGACUCGAUUUCUAAAAGGGGGCUGCGACCUCCAGUGCCUACUGAACUGGUAUCAGUGUGUACAUGGAAAACUGGCUCAGUUCAGCAGGAACAGGAGUGGAGUCCAGUAGGUGUCUGUCAUCCCGUCUGGAAAGCUUCUCACUCCUCACGCCUGGGAAUAGCGAGCCGAGUGCCGACGGAGGGAAAGCCUCCUGCGGGCAGACUUCAGUGACGUCAUCGUGCCUUUAAAUAGAGGCGCAGUUACUGAGAGCAUUAGGAUAAAAUGUGUGCUGGUCACAAAAGGAUUCAGUUCAGGUGAAGCUGUGAAAUUCAUCAUUGUGUUAAAUCUGUGUUCAACUUAAUUAUUGAUCCGAGAUUUCUGUCAGAGUAAAUUAUGUGAUCUUGUUGUACAUUCUAGCUCACUGCUGAUACAUCCACACCCCAUAGCAUGUUUUUUUUUCCUGCUUAACAUGGUUUCAUGUUUUAUGUGAAGCAUUAAAGACAGACAUAUGCAAAGUAAUGCAUAUGCCAUUUUAACCUCAAA